AUUUUGAAAAUCAGAGUUGAAAAUGAUGAUUUACGGUUUAAAUUUUUGAAGAAUAUUUAUGAGCAUUAAUUAAGCCAUCGUACAAAAGUUCAAAUUUUUUAUUUAGAUGAAUCUUGAUUAACUCAGAGUCACACUCUUACGCUUAGCGUCUUAUAGUACAUAUGAUGAUAAAAGUCACUUUAAUGCAUAAAUCAAAAAUAAAAUGUUAUACAGAAAAACAAGGAAUUCGCUGCGUGGAUUAGUGAUAAGACAGUGAUGGUAACGAAAGAUUCGAAAAAAGAGAUAAGCGUAUCAGUGUUGUGGAAAGGAAUGCAGUGUGGGGCCACGAUUUGAGUCUGUUGCUUUUGAGGGGUAAAUUACGAAGAGUGACAGUUGUGCUGCCGAUAACGUGAAUCCUACUGCAUUUUGGAACUAAAAUUGACAAAAAAAAAAAGUUAACUCACUUAAUGGCUGUUACA